GACGAACGCUGGCGGCGGGCUUAACACAUGCAAGUCGAACGAUGAAGCGGGUGCUUCCACUCGUGGAUUAGUGGCGAACGGGCGAGUAACACUUGAGUAACCUGUCCUUUUCUUUGGGAUAACGGUUGGAAGCGGCUACUAAUACUGGAUAUUCAUGCUGCAUCGCAGGGUGUGGUUUCGAAGAGUUUUUUCUGGUAUUAGGUGGGCUCGCGGCCGAUCAGCUUGUUGGUGGGGUGAGUGCUGAACAAGGCGUUGUCGGGUAGCCGGCAGGUGAGGGUGGGCGGUCGCAGUGGGACUGAGAUAAGGCCAAUACUACGACGGGAGGCAGCAGUGGGGAAUAUUGCACAAAGGACGAAAGGUUGCAGCCGCGCCGCCGCGUGGAGGGUGUCGGUCUUCGGGUUGUGCACUCCUUUUUCGCGCGAAAAAGGCACAGUUUUGGCUGUGUUGAUGGUAGUGGGGGAAGAAGCGCCGGCUAACUACGUG
rnacentral:rRNA from 1 species